rnacentral:rRNA from 1 species
UACGGAGGGGGCUAGCGUUGUUCGGAAUUACUGGGCGUAAAGCGCACGUAGGCGGCUUUGUAAGUUAGAUGUGAAAGCCCGGGGCUCAACUCCGGAAUUGCCUUUAAGACUGCAUCGCUAGAAUUGUGGAGAGGUAAGUGGAAUUCCGCGUGUAGAGGUGAAAUUCGUAGAUAUUCGGAAGAACACCAGUGGCGAAGGCGACUUACUGGACACAUAUUGACGCUGAGGUGCGAAAGCGUGGGGAGCAAACAGG